rnacentral:lncRNA from 1 species
UAAAAGGCACCUUUGCCCGGUUGCUUCAAUUCUAGGAAGCUGUUCAAUGUUUGACUAUAUUUCUCCAUACUCAUUUGAAAACAGUUCAUCAGAUUGGAACGACCUGGAGCAGCCAGCAGAGUGACAAAUGAGGAAGAGGACAGAAUCUAGCUGAAGAAGCUCUGGAAGAUACCAUUUGAAGUCUUGAGUGCUUGAACUCACAAAGAAAGCACAUGAGUACACACUAGCACUUGAGCUCUUCAUUUU